GGGCGCGCCUAACACAUGCAAGUCGAACGAGCGAGAGAGAGCUUGCUUUCUCGAGCGAGUGGCGAACGGGUGAGUAACGCGUGAGGAACCUGCCUCAAAGAGGGGGACAACAGUUGGAAACGACUGCUAAUACCGCAUAAGCCCACGGCUCGGCAUCGAGCAGAGGGAAAAGGAGCAAUCCGCUUUGAGAUGGCCUCGCGUCCGAUUAGCUAGUUGGUGAGGUAAUAGCCCACCAAGGCGACGAUCGGUAGCCGGACUGAGGGGUUGAACGGCCACAUUGGGACUGAGACACGGCCCAGACUCCUACGGGAGGCAGCAGUGGGGAAUAUUGCACAAUGGGGGAAACCCUGAUGCAGCGACGCCGCGUGGAGGAAGAAGGUCUUCGGAUUGUAAACUCCUGUUGUUGAGGAAGGUAAUGACGGUACUCAACAAGGAAGUGACGGCUAACUACGUGCCAGCAGCCGCGGUAAAACGUAGGUCACAAGCGUUGUCCGGAAUUACUGGGUGUAAAGGGAGCGCAGGCGGGAAGACAAGUUGGAAGUGAAAUCCAUGGGCUCAACCCAUGAACUGCUUUCAAAACUGUUUUUCUUGAGUAGUGCAGAGGUAGGCGGAAUUCCCGGUGUAGCGGUGGAAUGCGUAGAUAUCGGGAGGAACACCAGUGGCGAAGGCGGCCUACUGGGCACCAACUGACGCUGAGGCUCGAAAGUGUGGGUAGCAAACAGGAUUAGAUACCCUGGUAGUCCACACUGUAAACGAUGAUUACUAGGUGUUGGAGGAUUGACCCCUUCAGUGCCGCAGUUAACACAAUAAGUAAUCCACCUGGGGAGUACGACCGCAAGGUUGAAACUCAAAGAAAUUGACGGGGGCCCGCACAAGCAGUGGAGUAUGUGGUUUAAUUCGACGCAACGCGAAGAACCUUACAAAGUCUUGACAUCCUGCGACGGACAUAGAAAUAUGUUUUUCCUUCGGGACGCAGAGACAGGUGGUGCAUGGUUGUCGUCAGCUCGUGUCGUGAGAUGUUGGGUUAAGUCCCGCAACGAGCGCAACCCUUAUGGUCAGUUACUACGCAAGAGGACUCUGGCCAGACUGCCGUUGACAAAACGGAGGAAGGUGGGGAUGACGUCAAAUCAUCAUGCCCUUUAUGACUUGGGCUACACACGUACUACUAUGGCGUUAAACAAAGAGAAGCAAGACCGCGAGGU
rnacentral:rRNA from 1 species